rnacentral:tRNA from 1 species
CGGCGGGUAGCUCAGUGGUAGAGCCGUUGGAUGGCAGCUCGAAGGGUUCACUGGUUCAAUCCCGGUCCCGCGGC